CGCUGCUUUAAAAAGUGACAUACCUCUUUUGAUGGAUUUUUUGCAUUAACUUUUAUAGUAUUGACCUGAUCAGGAGGCCCGAGUUCUUUAAAUUGUGCGAUGGAUUUAGAACGCGCAUCUAAUGACUCGUUUACACGAGUUUCUAAAAACCUAUCGUCAUUGUUUAGAACUUCAGCUCAAUUAUAUUUAAGGAACUUACUCUGGUAUAUCCUUAAAGAAUGAAUCACUCAUAUAUCAUAAAUUGGAAUUAAUAUGCAAAGCAGCGUUCAAUUCGGCCUCGUGGCUGGUUCCAGUUAAGAGGUUAUGGUGUAGCCGCAGCCUGACUUGCUGUAACGAAGUGUAGCAAGCGACAAUUAGGCAAUCG